CCAAUAGCGUAUAUUAAAGUUGUUGCGGUUAAAAAGCUCGUAGUUGAAUUUCGGGAUCGAAUUGUUGGUCGUGCUUCGGUACGUACUGGCAUUAUUGGUUCCUACCUUCUGAGGAACCGCGAUGUCAUUAAUUUGGUGUCGUGGGGAAUCAGGACUGUUACUUUGAAAAAAUUAGAGUGUUUAAAGCAGGCUUACGCUUGAAUACAUUAGCAUGGAAUAAUGAAAUAGGACGUUUGAUUCUAUUUUGUUGGUUUCUAGGAUCGACGUAAUGAUUAAUAGGGAUAGUUGGGGGCAUUAGUAUUAAAUUGUCAGAGGUGAAAUUCUUGGAUUUAUUGAAGACUAACUACUGCGAAAGCAUUUGCCAAGGAUGUUUUCAUUAAUCAAGAACGAAAGUUAGGGGAUCGAAGACGAUCAGAUACCGUCGUAGUCUUAACCAUAAACUAUGCCGACUAGGGAUCGGAUGAUGUUAAUUUUUUAAUGACUCAUUCGGCGCCUUACG
rnacentral:misc_RNA from 1 species